GAGGGAAGCAGGUGGAGAGUGAGGCUCUGAGGCUGUCAGACGGUGAGACGGUGAGGCUGAUCAGAGCCUGGAGCAGGACAAACAAACAAUUAAGACAAUGGUUUAUGCAAAGGCUGUUUGGCUUGAGGGUGACAAACAGUUUGAAGGUGUCAUCCCAAAAAACUGGAUACAGGAAGAAAAAAAUGUUGUUCGAUGGCCAAAGAAAAGUGUGCAUUCAGCCCAUAAAAAAAAGAUGGACCCAGAGGUUGACUGGAAAACGUUCCCACUGGUGAAAAUAAAGACAAUAUCAGACAAUGAGAAAGAUUGUGAAGAUUAUAACUACACUUCAUCAGCCCAAACUGACCAUGAAGGUUCCACC